UUCCAGUAAAGAAACACUCAUGUGUCUUACUUCUUGUCCUAACCCCAGAGCUUAUAAGGUGAACCCAUGGGGGCUGCCUAAAGAGAGGAGGGACUUUUUUUUUUUUUUUUCCAGAAAGAACUGUCUGAAAAU